rnacentral:rRNA from 1 species
GGACGAACGCUGGCGGCGUGCCUAAUACAUGCAAGUCGAACGGUCUUUCUAUGGAAGCUUGCUUCCACUGAGAAGAUAGUGGCGAAACGGGUGAGUAACACGUGGGUAACCUGCCCAUAAGAGGGGGAUAACAUCCGGAAACGGGUGCUAAUACCGCAUAGUUUUCUUGAUCGCAUGAUUGAGAAAGGAAAGACGGCCUUUGUGCUGUCGCUUAUGGAUGGACCCGCGGCGUAUUAGUUAGUUGGUGAGGUAACGGCUCACCAAGACGAUGAUACGUAGCCGACCUGAGAGGGUGAUCGGCCACAUUGGGACUGAGACACGGCCCAAACUCCUACGGGAGGCAGCAGUAGGGAAUCUUCCGCAAUGGACGAAAGUCUGACGGAGCAACGCCGCGUGAGUGAAGAAAGGUUUUCGGAUCGUAAAACUCUGUUGUCAGAGAAGAACAAGUUGGAGAGUAACUGCUCCAGCCUUGACGGUAUCUGACCAGAAAGCCACGGCUAACUACGUGCCAGCCGCUGC